GGAGAUUUAGCUUAGUUGGUAGAGUGCUUGCCUCACAUGCUUAAAGCCCUGGGUUCAAUCCCCAGUACCCCCA
rnacentral:tRNA from 1 species